UUAAGGACGCUUUGGGGUCAAAAUUUAGAAGAAAACACAAAAAGGUUAAAUCAUUCGAUAUUUUAGGAGAUUUUGACAAAAUUUAAAGAGGGAAUGAACAUAUAGCUAAUAACAACAAAGUUAUUUUAGCAUACAUAUCUGGUCAAUCUUCUUCCAAAAUGUGGUAAAAAAUAAUUACUUGGAUAAAAAAAACUGCAUGUCAGGAUAAACAAUUUUAGGACAUUUUAAGAGGAAUCAUAUUUUCCUCCAAAUUUUGAAGGUUUUAUCGAAGAUUUUAGAAGGUGUGGCUUCCCUAUGUAGGUACACUUAGUCGAAUUUUUUUUUACCAUAGAAACUAUGCAUGGUGCUGCUAUGGGUAUGUGGAUCGCCUUCAAGUCAUGAAUAAAUUUCUACAGCUUAUUGUCAUGUAUUGUUGUUUUGAAAAAAUAAAAGGCCAUGUAAAAGAACAGCCUCAAGGGUGAAUAGACUUCGAAAUUGAUCAAAAUCUAGGUGCAAAGGAAUAAAAAAAUAUCAAAAAAAAGAACAACAUAGAAUAUAAUAGAGUAUUUUAAUAGCUUAUAGUUAUUACUUAAAAAUACAAUUUAGGUAGCAUUAUACAGUAGAGUAAAAUUACGAUAAAUGCCAAAAGAAUGUUAUAAUUAACACAGCCUGCAAUAGAAUGAAAAAUAUAGGCAAACUUUUUAUACGAAACAGCCACAUGUCACAACUAGCCUUCCUAAUUCGCAGUACUUCUACCAACAGGAAAUUAAAAUACAGAGCCAAAUCGACAAGCAUUCUUCAUAUAACUAAAUUUACAGCAAGCACACUAUAAAGUUUUUUAUACAAAAAAAUAGUUCACUUAGUUUCUGCAUGAAGUUGGAAACAAAAGUUUGAUCAACAAUCUAAGCUUUUUAAGAGGGACUUUCGAUUUCUCCCACGCAACUAAUUAAGUAAAAUACAAAGCAACCACUAAUCACCGUAUUUUUAAAUUUUUCAUCACUAUGGAAACAUAAUUAAGUCUUUACUUCUCCCAUUUAAAAAAAACAUGUGCAGAACACAUCAUUUUUCGCAUAUAUUUCUGAUGACAAGAAUUUUGUCAUUUUAAACUCACCAUGAUUUACCAUACACGCACUUCUUUUAUUUUGGCAAUAAAAACAAAAUUUGAAAAUAAAAAAAAAAAAAAAAAAAAAUGAUAAUUAGGAAUAAAAACAAAUUGAAUUAACACAUGGUAAAUAAUAAAACAAGAGUAGUAUUUUGCACCCUAAACAAUUGUGUAACAGCUAAAUAUUCAAUAUCAGCUGAUCACUUUAUGAAAACUAUCAACUUACAUGGCCCAAUUGGGAUGAGGGGUUAUGAAAGUUACUGCUUACACAAAGAUCACACUCUCCUAGCCAAAAUCUUAGCCGCAAAAACAUCUGCUAUGGACUGAGUUUUGUGUGGGUACAAAUGAGAUAUUGAGAAAAAGGAGUUUUUAAAGAACUACCUAAAUUUUUAAAUUAAUUUUUAAUGUUGUGUUUACAUUUACUUACAUCGUAGUUUCUCCUAAUUGAUAGAAAAAUCUAGCUAAAUUUGACUAAUAAGAGGCCAUUUACUGACAUCGCCUUAUAUACUAACAAUAGAGAAUGUUCCCUGUGUCUGGCAAAGUGGAUGUGUUGGCCAAUGUUGUCACAUUUGCUAAAUCUGAUUCUGUUCUUUUUGUAUUUUUUUAGACAAAUCCUUUGUUUUAUUUUUAAAAAUUUAUGCUUAUUUCUCUCAACUGUUGCCUAUAUGGCAUCAUUUUAAAAUUUUAAACUUAUUUCAUAAAUGUUUUUUUUAUUUUAAUUUUUUUACAUUUAAUUGCCUAAACUCGAUUUCUACACAGGCCAUACAGCUAGUUUAGCACACUAAUACUGGUAAUUACCAAAAUAACAAUAAUAGAUAAAAAUUCUUAAUUAGGGAAAAUAAAAGUGAUAGUAGAGAAACUGUUUAAAUUGGAAAAAUAAAACAUACGAAAUAAAGAAACUGGUAGGAAUCACAAAUUCAGGAAAACAGUGUUAAUUGAGAAGGGUAACAAACAACGGAAGCAAAGAAUUUGAUUUUAAAAAGUGAAACGACUGGGCUGUGUCUGCUCCCUUCUUCUGAAGACAAACUCGAAGAUGAUCGCAGGACAACAGAUUGGCAUUUUGAAUUUCGAUGUGAUGGUGAGUUAUUGCUUAUAGUUCUUCUACGUAUCAUAGACUCAAGAGACUCAUCAAAGGAUUUUCUUCGUGCAGAUUUUUUUCCUGUGUUGUCAACCUAAGAAAGAAACACAGUAGUAUUUCAUCCCAUGAUUAUUUAUUCAUAAAAUGUAUAAUUAAUAUGCACACCUCUGGUAGUUCCCAAACUGUCCCUGGUCCAUUCAAGUUAUAGAAAUAUGCCCUUCCAUUUUUAUCUGUGCAUGAUUUCCACUAAAGACAAGUAAGAACACAAAAAAUAAACUAUAUCUUUAAAAAACAGGAAAUAAUAAGAUUUUAAAUAGACAGGUAUUUUUGGCUAAGUAAGUGUUAUUUUAAAACUUUUGCAAAAAGGAAACAUUUCAGAUUUACUGGGAACAGAUUUAACUUCAAAUGGUUUGUAUAAUAUUGAAAGAACCCUCCUACCCUCUCCUUUGUAAUUGAGUUUACAAAUAUUGCUUCAUUUGUAUUUUUUUCUAUUUCAACCAGCCAACCAUUAGGAACACUAACAUCACUGGAAGAAUCCAAGUAUGUAAAAGUUGAAGCAAGCUAUAAAUAAAAAAGAAUAACUUUUACUUCUUCUUUUUUUAACACAGCUUAUAAACACCUAAAUACUAACGGUUUAGAGUUUAAUAAUGUAAAUACUGCAAAACUAACCUCAGAGGACUUUUCAGUUCCAGGUGAUUUGCUUUCUUUAAGUGAAGCUCUUGGGGGUUUCCACAUCGAUUCUUUUUUCUCUUCAUUAAAAUAAAAAGAACGACCAUUGUCGUCAUUGCAUUUUUUCCAUCCUUUUGGCAAUGUGAAUGAUUUCAUUCGAGCUGGGCGUGGAGAUAUUUCAAAAGAGAGGGGAGAAGUUGGAGUAG